CCUACGGGUGGCACCAGUGGGGAAUAUUGCACAAUGGGCGCAAGCCUGAUGCAGCCAUGCCGCGUGUAUGAAGAAGGCCUUCGGGUUGUAAAGUACUUUCAGCGGGGAGGAAGGCGGUGAGGUUAAUAACCUCAUCGAUUGACGUUACCCGCAGAAGAGGCACCGGCUAACUCCGUGCCAGCAGCCGCGGUAAUACGGAGGGUGCAAGCGUUAAUCGGAAUUACUGGGCGUAAUGCGCACGCAGGCGGUCUGUCAAGUCGGAUGUGAAAUCCCCGGGCUCAACCUGGGAACUGCAUUCGAAACUGGCAGGCUAGAGUCUUGUAGAGGGGGGUAGAAUUCCAGGUGUAGCGGUGAAAUGCGUAGAGAUCUGGAGGAAUACCGGUGGCGAAGGCGGCCCCCUGGACGAAGACUGACGCUCAGAUGCGAAAGCGUGGGGAGCAAACAGGAUUAGAUACCCUUGUAGUC
rnacentral:rRNA from 1 species